rnacentral:rRNA from 1 species
CCUACGGGGGGCAGCAGUGGGGAAUAUUGCACAAUGGGGGAAACCCUGAUGCAGCGACGCCGCGUGAGUGAAGAAGUAUUUCGGUAUGUAAAGCUCUAUCAGCAGGGAAGAAAAAAGACGGUACCUGACUAAGAAGCCCCGGCUAACUACGUGCCAGCAGCCGCGGUAAUACGUAGGUGGCAAGCGUUGUCCGGAAUUACUGGGUGUAAAGGGAGCGCAGGCGGGAAGCCAAGUCAGCUGUGAAAACUACGGGCUUAACCUGUAGACUGCAGUUGAAACUGGUUUUCUUGAGUGAAGUAGAGGUG